rnacentral:rRNA from 1 species
GAUGAACGCUAGCGGCAGGCCUAACACAUGCAAGUCGAGGGGCAGCAUAAUAAAAGCUUGCUUUUAUGGUAGCGACCGGCGCACGGGUGCGUAACGCGUAUGCAACCUACCUUAUACUGGGGUAUAGCCCGGAGAAAUUCGGAUUAAUCCCCCAUAGUAUUAUUAGAUCGCAUGGUUUGAUAAUUAAAGGUUACGGUAUAAGAUGGGCAUGCGUCCCAUUAGCUAGAUGGUGAGGUAACGGCUCACCAUGGCGACGAUGGGUAGGGGGCCUGGGAGGGUGGUCCCACACACUGGUACUGAGACACGGAGCAGACUCCUACGGGAGGCAGCAGUGAGGAAUAUUGGUCAAUGGGCGAGAGCCUGAACCAGCCAUGCCGCGUGCAGGAAGACGGUCCUAUGGAUUGUAAACUGCUUUUAUUUGGGAAUAAACUCCGAUACGUGUACCGGCCUGAAGGUACCAAAUGAAUAAGCACCGGCUAACUCCGUGCCAGCCGCCGCGGUAACAC